GAUGAACGCUAGCUACAGGCUUAACACAUGCAAGUCGAGGGGCAGCAGGAAUCUAGCUUGCUAGAUUUGCUGGCGACCGGCGCACGGGUGAGUAACGCGUAUCCAACCUUCCCCUUAGUAGGGCAUAGCCCGUAGAAAUGCGGACUAAUACCCUAUGUUUUCCGAUGCAGACAUCUAAUUUGGAAUAAAGGUUUACCGCUAAGGGAUGGGGAUGCGUCCGAUUAGCUUGCCGGCGGGGUAACGGCCAACCGGGGCAACGAUCGGUAGGGGUUCUGAGAGGAUGGUCCCCCACAUUGGAACUGAGACACGGUCCAAACUCCUACGGGAGGCAGCAGUGAGGAAUAUUGGUCAAUGGACGGGAGUCUGAACCAGCCAAGUAGCGUGCAGGACGACGGCCCUAUGGGUUGUAAACUGCUUUUAUGCGGGGAUAAAGUGACGUACGUGUACGUUUUUGUAGGUACCGCAUGAAUAAGGACCGGCUAAUUCCGUGCCAGCAGCCGCUGUAAUAC
rnacentral:rRNA from 1 species